rnacentral:rRNA from 1 species
UCCCGGCAGUUCAAGUCGCAUCCACUUUUAUUGGGUCUAAAACAUCCGUAGCUCGCUUUUUAAGUUUCUUGUGAAAUCCUACGUCUCAAGCGUGGGGCUUGCGGGAAAUACUGGAAAGCUAGAGAUCGGUAGACGUAAGGAGUACAUCGGAGGUAGUGGUAAAAUACGUUAAUCUUCGAUGGACUAACAAUGAGCGAAGGCACCUUACGAGGACGAAUCUGACAGUCAGGGAUGAAGGCCAGGGGCGCAA